rnacentral:tRNA from 3 species
GGGAGCGUGGCGGAAUUGGCAUACGCAGCGGACUUAAAAUCCGCCGCCGCAAGGCUUGUGGGUUCGAGUCCCACCGCUCCUACCA